rnacentral:tRNA from 3 species
CAAGUUAAAACUUAAUUAGUUAAGGUAUAUUAUUUACACUAAUAUUUUAAUUGUGCAAUUCAAUUUAAUUUGA